rnacentral:rRNA from 1 species
AUGAAUAUCUUAAGUUGGAACUGCCGGGGAGGGGGGAAUUCCCGGACAGUUCGUGAGUUAGCGACUAUCUCACAGUCGCAUUCCCCCACUAUGGUUUUCUUAUGUGAGACUAGACAAAAGGCGGAGAAGAUGAGGAGAAUCCGUCACCGCAUUGGACUGAAGGGUUUUACGGGAGUUGAUAGUAAUGGCAUGAGUGGUGGAUUGGCUUUUUACUGGCAUGAG